AUGGGAACCAAGGCCUCGCGGUCCUCACCUUCCUCUCCCGCUCGGCGAAUAACCCUGCAAACGGAGCGAGGCGACAGCCCCCGCUGUUCCCGAGCGCAAGCCGCUGCGCGCGUCUUCCCGGCCGCCUGUCCCGCUCGCCUGCCGGCCCCUCGGCGUGGCCGAGCCCCGGGGAACGCAGACGCGGCAGCAGGGGACCAGCGGCAGAGGGCGCCGCAGGACCGCGAGGAGGCCCGGGAGCAAAAGUGGAGGGCCGAGCGCCUCUCGCUGAAAGAAGAGAGCCCACGCUCUGGACCCGAGGCCCGGUGUCCCGGGGGUGUCCGCGCCGGGCCGCCUCCCCGCCGCCAGCGGAGCCGGGAGCAAGCCUUCUCGGGCUCCGCGCCCUCCUUUUCCCGCGUUCCGGGCUGCCGGAAAGCCGCAGAGCACAAUGUGGGGACCCCGCCCGAGCCCCAGGGCAGGGGGGCGGCCGCGGAGGGCAGCUUGUGUACCAACUUUCAUAUGGAUUUCACUGUGGCUGCAUCCAACCUCCGAGCAGAAAACUGUAACAUUCCCCCUGCAGAUCGGCAUAAGAGCAAGCUGACUGCAGGGAAGAUCAUCCCUGCCAUUGCCACAACCACAGCAGCUAUAGUUGGCCCCGUGAGUCUGGAGCUAUACAAAGUGGUGCAGGGACACCGGCAGCUUGAAUCUUACAAGAACAACUUCACGAACGUGGCCCUGCCCUUCCUCAGCUUCUCUGAACCCCUUGCCCCACCCCGUCACCAGCACUAUAACCAAGAGCGGACGUUGUGGGAUCGCUUUGAUGUACACGGCCACAGCCUAAUGGUGAGGAGAUGACUCUCAAACAGUUGCUUAACUACUUUAAGACAGAGCACAAAUUAGAGAUUACCAUGCUGUCCCGAGGUGUAGCCAUGCUGUGCUCCUUUUUCAUGCCAGCUCCCAAACUCAGGGAACAGCUGGAUCAGCCGGUGACAGAAACGGUGAGCCAUGUGUCAAAGCGAAAGCUGGGCCACCAUGUGCUUGAGCUGUACUGCAGUGAUGAGGUGGCGAGGAUGCUGAGGUCCCCUGUGUACGAUGCACCAUCCGCUGACUCCCCAGUCCCCAAACUGUUUAGUUUCAGAUCCCUUCUAGUUGUGGCAAAACAUGUGCCUAGCCAGGCACAUAAGCUUUACGUCCUUUUGAGAACCUUUUU